AAAUUUCAGUUCGACGGCCGAUAUCUAUGACGUCAUCCACAUGCAAGGAUGACGUCAUAGAUAUCGGCCGUCGAACUGAAAAAAAAAC